GGAUUGUGACUCAGCGGUAGAGCUCUUGCCUAGCACGUGUGAGGCCCUGGGUUUGAUCCUCAGCACCA
rnacentral:tRNA from 1 species